UACGAAGGGGGCUAGCGUUGCUCGGAAUCACUGGGCGUAAAGCGCACGUAGGCGGAUUGCUAAGUCAGGGGUGAAAUCCUGGAGCUCAACUCCAGAACUGCCUUCGAUACUGAGAGUCUCGAGUCCGAGAGAGGUGAGUGGAACUGCGAGUGUAGAGGUGAAAUUCGUAGAUAUUGCAAGAACACCAGUGGCGAAGGCGGCUCACUGGCUCGGUACUGACG
rnacentral:rRNA from 1 species